GGAGGGUGCAAGCGUUGUCCGGAUUUAUUGGGGUUUAAAGGGGUGCGUAGGCGGCCUAUUAAGUCAGUGGUGAAAGGUAUCAGCUUAACUGAUGACGUGCCAUUGAAACUGACGGGCUUGAGUACAGACGAGGUAGGCGGAAUUUAUGGUGUAGCGGUGAAAUGCAUAGAUACCAUAAAGAACACCAAUUGCGAAGGCAGCUUACUAGACUGAGACUGACGCUGAGGCACGAAAGCGUGGGGAGCGAACAGGAUUAGAUACCCUGGUAGUCCACGCUGUAAACGAUGAUUACUGGAUGUGUGCGAUAGACAGUACGCGUCUGAGCGAAAGCGUUAAGUAAUCCACCUGGGGAGUACGAUCGCAAAGAUUG
rnacentral:rRNA from 1 species